UGUAAUGUUAAUUGCUACUUUGAAUGUAUACUUUGUAUUGUCAUGGUUUUUUUUUAACUUUAUUUGUCAAUUUAAUGCCCUGUUUUGUUUCAUUUGCUCACACGGAGACGCAUUUGAUAUUUUCAGAUUUCCGUUUUAACGUUAGUUGUUUUUAAUUUGGACACUAGUGAAAACUAACGUUACACACAAACUGUUUAAAUUUCAGCUGUAGACUGUUUUCAAUGAACCAGUUGAGCCGAUUCAAUAACAAGAGAUGCUUAUUUGUCAUGACCUACAGGUUUACAUGUGUCAUUCAUUACUGUAAAAAAAUCUACUUUUUAUUUUUAGUAGCAGAAGCAGAGAUGGUUUGUGCAACAGCAACAAGGUGCAGGUCCAAACCCAUCUGUCAAGACGCUUGUCCACUUGCUGUCCGGCCCACCAGCCCAACGAUUGUGCUGGUGAGCCUCUGACCACAAGUCAUAGAAAAAGAGAAUGUCAUAAUCAACUGGAACAGCUUGAGGUGGUAGAGAUAGAAGAAGUGCCCUUGACGAGGAAACCAUGGUAGCCAUCUAUACGUCAAGAAGAGAUUUCCAAAUGUGUCCAAAGAGGCUUUGAGGAUUUGAACUGGGGAAACUGAGACUUCUUGAAAGCAAAAAAGUUACAUUUGUAACUUGCUGAUUUUUUUAUUCAAAUGUUCAUGUGUUAUAG